UACAGAGGGGGCAAGCGUUGUUCGGAAUUACUGGGCGUAAAGGGCGCGUAGGCGGCCUGUUAAGUCGAACGUGAAAUCCCCGGGCUCAACCCGGGAACUGCGUCCGAUACUGGCAGGCUUGAAUUCGGGAGAGGGAUGCGGAAUUCCAGGUGUAGCGGUGAAAUGCGUAGAUAUCUGGAGGAACACCGGUGGCGAAGGCGGCAUCCUGGACCAGUACCGACGUUCAGGCACGAAAGCGUGGGGAGCAAACAGG
rnacentral:rRNA from 1 species